ACGAAGGGACCUAGCGUAAUUCGGAAUUACUGGGCGUAAAGCGCGCGUAGGCGGUUAAGUAAGUUAAUUGUGAAAGCCCAAAGCUCAACUUUGGAAUUGCAAUUAAAACUAUUUAGCUAGAGUUUAUCAGAGGAAAGCGGAAUACAUAGUGUAGAGGUGAAAUUCGUAGAUAUUAUGUAGAACACCAGUUGCGAAGGCGGCUUUCUGGGAUAAUACUGACGCUGAGGUGCGAAAGUAUGGGUAGCGAAGAGG
rnacentral:rRNA from 1 species